CUUCCAUGCUGAAAACACUGGUUCUUGUUUGAUCACCAAAGUUAAGCAGUGUCAAGCCUUGUCAGUACUUAGAUGGGGAACCACUUGGGAACAUUGUAUACUGUA